CAUCUGUGGGCGGCAUGUUGUUUCCAUGGAGACGCACCCGCCGGCUGGCAAGUGGAACAUUUAACCAGACCCCUCCGCUCUCCACCGGCCGUCGUCAGGGAAGUCGAGCAGGACGCGAGGAUCACUGAACGCGGUGAUGUAAAGCAGUACAGUAAGCGAGGUGUACCCGACCACACAGACGGCCCGCCAGUCACACGAUUGUAUCACAGAGUUCAGGGUCACUCAGGUGACUUGCCAGGUGACUGUGUCACGUGCGGUCGUGAGGUGGCUAGCUUCCUACACAGUCUACAUGUUGGUGUUACAGAGACUGUCACGACAACAGCCAUGACUGUCACCUCCACCAACGGCGGCACAACACCGCCCUGCCUGCAGUGGAGAGACGUGCUGGUGUUAGACUUUAAUAACAUUAGUGACGACACGGGUAUGAUAAAGGGACUGCAAGAAGCGGGUAUCCCAGUGCAGGUGAUGAAGGAUGAUGACGUUGAAGACGUGGCCACGGCCCGCAGUGACGUGGUGUGGGUGACGAAUGGAGAGAGUGUUUGCGGUCUGGAGAGAAAAGUCGUCGUGUGUCUGUAUGAUCAACUUUCAGCCCGGUAUUACUGCAUGUCCCGGUGUACCUCACAACUUGUGAUUGUCUACGAUGACGACAGCCUGUGGGGUAUCUGACGUCAUCACCUCGUGACACAUUUAUAUACACAUGUUGUGUAUGACACAUUUAUAUACAUUUACGUUUAUAAACAGGAGGGGCAUCAACAUCAUACAGUGGGUCUUGUUUGUAUUAGAAUCAGCUUCAACAGCAAUAUCCUACACACUGGGUCUAGUUUACUUAACUCGUGCUAACAUCAACAUCACGCACCCUAGGACUUGUGUACACAGCAACUAUUGUCAACAUCAAUAUCAUAUGACAUACACACUGGGUCUUGCGAUAGUACCUAGCGAUGAUUUUCCCAUUGACCCGGCUGCCAUGUGACCCCAUGUGACCCCAUGUCGUGAUGGGGAAUGUAAAGCAAUGAGAGGGAGAGGAAACGGACGCCGUCUGACAAAACAAAACAAUGAUGACGGGAAUAGCAAAUGUAAGCGGAUCUAGAAAAUAUAACUAACCUCCCGACGACUGGAUGUGCAGUAAUAAAGAACGGUUAUACUUUUAUAUGGAUUGAAGUAUUCAAAGUAGUCAGGACCGCGUGCCUUUGUGUUUGUGUAUCUGUAUAACGCCAAUAUAAGCAAACGUGUAACAUUAUUGCAACAUGUAAAAAAUUGAAUGGUACAAGCAAUAAAAAUGUCAAAGA